rnacentral:lncRNA from 1 species
AGGCUCUCAGUGGAUUAUGAGGCACUGUUGAAAGAACACAAAGAUGUGAAGCAAAAGCUGGAAGCCUCUAAAGCCAGGAGCAAAACUCUAUCUGCUGAAGUCAAAACUCUGAAGCAUCAAAUAUCAACCCUGAUGGAGAAGGGGAAACACGAUGAUGAGUUCGUGGCUGCUUUGAUGGUAAGAAAUUAGACUCAAGACAAAUAUCUGGUUCGAUUCGUAUAGAUUCUAUCUUUUAAUAUAUGUUAAUAUAUUAAUAAGAAAGUAGGCAUUGUAAGACUUUAAAUAAGGUAUCUCAUGCAUGUGUUGUUAAAUACCAUGGCAGUUAGUACCAAUUUCACUUGACAUUUAUGAGUUGAAGUCAACAUACUGCAAAGCAGAGGAUAUCCUGUGAUGUGUCCAUGCUUUACUACUACUGUUCCUAUUAAGUUAGCAUAUCUUUUCUACCUGUGGCAGAAGCAGCAGGCCCAGAUGCAAACGGUAUUAAAACGACUCAGCCAAAAACAAAACGUACAGAGCAAGGUGAUGCAGCAGAGUGUAGGACAACAGCUGAGCAACAUACCUUCAGAGCACAGUGCUAUCGUCCAGAGAUUUAAGGAGAUACUUGCUGAGAAAGAUGCCAUUAUCAAAAAACUACAGAAAAGCCAGCAAUUCUCUGAUAAGGUGUUGAAGAACAAUGAUGUGCACAGACAGCCCAGCAUCAGGAUAACAAACUGUACUUCUGCUGUUUCCCCAGAAGAGGGAGACAUUACCAAUAGAAUUCCAUCUUCAGGGUACGUGUGCUGGCUUAAUAUCUGAUAAUCAUUAAAAUAUGCUUAUUGUUAGUUUAGCUUAGUGGGUCCCAAUCUGUGGGAUAUGGAUCCAUUGCACGUGGUGAGAAAUUAAAUAUUUAAGCAAAAAAUUACUUAAGUAAAAUUAAGCUGGGAACCUUUUUUUUUGAGGUUUGAUAAAGAAUUAUGACGUGUUGAGUAAGAACUGUUUUAGCUUCAUACAACUUUGAGAAACCCUGAUUUACCUCUUCAGGACAGAUAAUUAUUGUUCAUCUCAUCUUCUGUUUUGCACUUGAAACCAGCCUCUGAGGCUAAGUGUCACACAUAGCACUGAUAUCUCUCGUCUUGUCUAGAAACAUAAGGCUAAAUAAUUACCUAAGGUUAACGUUGGGGUGCACUGUUAUCAGCGUAUUGAUGACUGUGAUGUUAAACACUUCCGUAUUCCUCGGGAUUUCUGUUUACCGCCUUCAAAUGUUUUGUUUUUCAGUUCAAUUUCUAAAUUUGGUCACAAACUGGUGCUGCCAGCUGUGGGAAGUGGCAUAGAAUUCAC